rnacentral:ncRNA from 1 species
GGGAUCUGCGGGAGCGACGACGCGCGGUCCAGCAACGGCCGCCGGGACCGCGCCGAGCCACUGGCGAGACCGACCGCCGCUGGA